AACUCACCAGGUCAGGACACGGUAAGGAUUGACGGACUGAAGGCUCUUUCUCGAUUCCGUGGAAAGUGGUGCAGUGGCCGUUUUUGGUUGGUGGAUCGAUCCGUCUGGUUAAUUCCGUUAACGAACGAGACCUCGGCACUCCGAAUAGCGCGGCGGACGUCGCGGCCUCCGGGCCGUCUUCCGCACGAGCUUCUUAGAGGGACCGUCCCCCGCCGGGGAAGGAGGUGCGAGGCAACGACAGGUCUGUGAUGCCCUUAGAUGUUCUGGGCCGCACGCGCAUUACACUGACGCGUCCAACGGGUGACUCCCGACCCGAAGGGGCCGGGGAAUCCGCAAGGCGCGUCGUGAUGGGGAUUGAACGUUGCAAUUGUUGUUCACGAACGAGGAAUUCCUAGUAGGCGCGGGUCAUCAACCCGCGCCGAUUACGUCCCUGCCCUUUGUACACACCG
rnacentral:rRNA from 1 species